AAGAGGGAGAAACGCGAAUUGAAUAGAUGCAUAUAGAGGCUGCUCGCGUCGGCUGUUGCGAAGUCAUCCGACAACCUGAUCCUUCCCUGCGUAUGGUAUACACGAUUAACGGUUCCCCCACGGCCACGAAGCAGAAUCGGAGCCGGAGACGGCAAGAAGCGACGCUCCUCCGUCGCCGCCGCCGCCGCCGCCAUGCCGUUCUGCGCGGAAUCGAUUUUCAACGCGCGGCACGACGCGGAGGGACGUGUUUUGAUGAUGACGCCGACCAUUAUCCCUCCUACGCGGCAGGAGAGAUCGGUCGGCGGAGGAUUCGCGAAAAAACGCGCCGCUUCGUUAAUUUCUUCGAUACGCCGGCCCGGCAACGCGCCUUCAAAGUUGCUCGUCGAGUUUACGCUCGAGGACACGCAUUGAUACGCAGGUGCGCUCCGGAGGCCGAGAUUUUGCGCGGACCCUGGCCAUUCUUGGACUAUCGCGUCGAAAUUACAGUGUGAACAUAUGUGAAUCGUUUCCACCGGGAUAUCAACAAAGAAUUGUGAUUAAAUUUUGUGAUGAACUUUAGGAAAAAUAUAAAUGAAGUUUCGAAAGAUUUAUUCUCUGCCAUCAGUAAAAACGCGUAAAUUCUACUUUAUUAAUAAAUAACUUUUUGUUAAGAAAGAAAUACGUAUUUUAAUGAAAAUGUAUUUAUUUUUAAUAACGUAUAGAGUUAUUAUAAAGACGUUAUUUAAAAGAGCAUCUCAUCGCAUGUAAUGUGAAUUUAAAAUUAUUUAUAAAUACAAAAAUUAUCAGCGCAUUUUACGAGUUUAUGUUGUUAAAUGCUAGUGGUGCCACAUGAAAGAACUCAUUUAUUUCGCGCUGUACUGAAAGAGAAAAAAUACGAUUUUCCGACAUAAUAAUCCAAGUCGCCUGAGAAAUGGAUCAACUGUACGCCGGUGCCGUAAACGUCUUUGGCAAAUACGCUGCCAGGUGGAGCAGGCUCCCCGGUUUACUCAGGCACGAACGUCACUUGAUAGAACUUCGAAAAGCCGGAGAUAUACAACUUUCUUGGCCUACGACAUGACUCUACCUGAGAAUUAACUGCCUGACUGUCUGAAUUAUGAGCUUGAUAUAGAUACGAAUUUAUACGGAAAGUAAAGAUGUACAAUGUAAAGAAAGCAAGCGAAAUUCAACGGAAGUUAGUAGUUCGAGUCAUGUAACAGAAUAAUGAAUAAGAACGAUACCAAUAAAUGUGUAUCAUUAUAUUUACAACAAUACUAAUUUUAUUCAUAACAAUAUUCAUCUUAAAUGUGUAUUUUUCCCCUAAAUAUGGUAACUAUAAUUUAUGGUUUUUUUUUCUAGAAAGAGUAUAUGGACACAAAAGUUAAAAAAAAUUUUUUUAUUCGCUGAUUAUUAAUUAUUUGCUCUAUAAAUCAGAUUGAUUCACUACUUUUGCAGUGCUAUACUUAUAACUGAUCAGUGACUAUUCACUCUUUCAAUUCGAUAAAGAGAGAAGUGCUCUUGUUGAUCAAAAUCAAUAUACAUAUUAUCAUUGAAAGACAUGCAAAAGUGUCACCGAUUAAUAUAAUAAUAUAAGUUAUAAGUAUAGCACUGAAAUUAAUAAGAUUUCACUGAGAUUCCAGUUUACAGAUCGUGUUUUUAUUUGUCUAAGUAUUUCAGUCUUCAGAUGAGCGUUUUACUGUUAAAGACAGCGAUAUCAACGUGUGUUUAUUGUGUGCAGAAUCGGAAAUGUUUUGAGACACGCAGUAGACGAUCGAUCUGAAACUCGAGUCUAACGUAGAAACAGUGGAUUAAAGAGAGAAAAAAAUGGGCUGGUCUCUCGAUAGACAGAUUGGCCGAGUACUUGGUCUGACUGGUCCCUACACACCGGGCAACUUUUUCCGAACUUUUUACCUCUUUCUCAUCCAACAACUAACCAACCUCCGACAGGCCGAGAUUACAUGGACAAGUUCGAAUUGUGUAUGUCCUUUCAGUCUGAUAAUUUAAAAGUUUACAGAUACGUUUCUCAUGUGUAAUUAUAUUAAUAAUAUAACUUUAGACACAACGAGAAUUACAAUCCUGCGAUAUAUUUCUGUGACAUAAAAGAUAUUUAUGAAAGUAUUAUUAACUUUUAAUUAUUUUGCUUAAGACCUGUACUCCGUUUAAGUUACUGAUAAAAAUUCAUUAAUUAAUUAUAUUAUAAUUAAUUAAUCAAUUAAUUAUAAUGACAUAAUUGGAUUAUAAAUUCUGAAUAAAUUAUUUAUAUUUUAAUAUAAUUAUCUUUCGCAUAAAUUAUUGUAAUAUGCAAUGUACCAACGAUUUAUUCUAUAAUUAAUAAUUAAACUUACAUCUGAUUACAAAUUAUGGCUAAUAUACUACGUUAGUUUUCGAUAUAUAAUAUUAAGCAUUAAUAUUAAGCAGAUAUCGUUUCAUCACUAAUAUGCUUGCAUGUUUGUUAUUAUGUAGUUUCUAUGUCAAGAUGUAAAUAAGAUAAUAAAAACUCUUAUGUAUAUGAUUCAUUUAGAAAAAAAAAACAUAAUCACUCAUUCUAAAAUAAUAUUAAAAUAUGAUGCGUCAUUUAUAAGCCAUUCGACAUUCAUGCCAAUAAAUGUAUUCGUUUAUUUUAAGAGGCUCAUACUUGCAGCAACAAACGACGCGAGUAAAUCGGGUAAAGGUAAUUCCUUCGCGUCGACUAACUUAAGACUGCGGCGAGAACUUAUGAGCAGGACCGUACACGGUAUUUAUGAUUUUUGCAGACGGGUCCUCAUUGUGGUGCCUCGUUGCACGGCUUUCACGAGUCUCGAGGUGUAAAUAAGCAGUCGCCGAGAUUGCACUUGAUUACAGGGAGUCCGCCUGCAUUCGGUCGUCUUAUUGCAGGGCACGUACAUUCGCGCGAGUACAUCGCCAAGGCGUGAACCUUUGUCCAAAUUUAAUAAUUCAUAUUUGCGAGGGAUCCGAGCAUCCAUCGCUGUAACGAUUGUAACGAUCCGCGCGAAUUUCGAAGGGGAAAGAAAUUGCUAACAGCCGCGAAAAUAGCGGAAUUACAAUAUAUUUUACGGGUAUACAGGCACAUCUAGCAAUUUCUCACUCAUGUUUUUACGGUAGUAUAAUUCGUUCUCCAAAACUGUAGUAUUUUUAUCACGUACGCUAGAAUCUGUCAAGUCACGUUGUUUAUAAAUGUACGUUUUCGCAACAAGACGUUUAAAAAUCUCAGAAUAUUAGGAAUAAGUUUAAUAUUAUUAUAUGUAACCUUCUGAUAUAAUUUAUAGUUUAAAAGAACGUCGCAAUUUAUAGUUUAAAUUUAAUUCUAAGAUUCAAAUUAAUUGGAAUUGAGCAAUAUUUAUAUUCAGCGACUUCAAGCCUUUCAUGAAUUAUUACUUUCAGUUAUUCAUUUAUUGUGCAAAGAGCCAAUGACCACGCAGUUACUCUCGCUAUAAUAGCUACGUAUGAAAUAAUUUAUCUGCCAUUAUCAGGCUAUUUAGGUUUUGCGGUUCCGAAUAAGUUGCCAUUAUUUAAUUUUGAAUAUAUUCGAAGUAAUUGGUUACCGCCACGUAAAAAAAAAAAAAAA